GUGAGAGUUCAGUUGAUUUAUAUUGUGUUCCCCCCAAUGCAAAUGCGAAUGUAUGUACAUACGAAUAUAUGUAUGGUAAUAAAUGUACAAAUGUGCAAAACGGACAAUUAAAAGUGAAUGAUAAAUACAAAUUAAAUACAAAUAUAAUAAGUGCAUAUGCUAAAAGACAUUCAACAAUCUAAUAAUUCUAAUUAAAAAUAACAAGUGUUUAAUAUUACUGCAAAUAAUAGCGGGAAAUCUUCAGAAUACAUCAAGUCUUGUACAUGCUGCAAACAUGAUUCGUACGCCAUACAGAGAUAAGCCUGCCGGCCGCAAUGCCAUUGACUUUUUCAUAUGGCAGCUCCAACAACCUGCUUCUCCUUUGCUGGGACUACAACCUGCGGCUGAACCCCCUGCCCUUACUUGGAAAUGGGCUCCAAACGAAAGAAGCAUCAGGACCGACUGCUGGCUGCAUCCAUGUUGCCGUUAGCAUCCUGCGCCAUCAGCAUUUUGUAUUUGUACUUUUUUGCAUACACUCUCCCAUCAGCGCUUGGCUGAAGCGGGCACGAGUGUUUUUGCAACUAUGAUUUCAUUCCGGCUUGUUGCCGUCCUAAAAACUAUUUAUAAUUAUGAUUAAGACUUAAAUGAAUAUUUCUCACAUACUUUGUUACACUUGCUAUGGACAAGUUGUCUUUUGUUAAUCUACUUGAUAUAUUUACUUAGCCUUAUCUAUGCAAUUAUAAUCAUAUUGACGACUCGUAAAACUACUCAAUCAAAAUCAUUAUUAAUAACUAAACUACACGUUAGGCUGCUGUCACAUUUGCUCAAUCAAACAUACAUCAAACUACAACUACAUUUAAUUAUCAAACUAUAUGAAUACAUAAUCUACUUGUAUAUGCUUUACUCAAUCAAAAUCUCAUUCGAAACUAUGAAUAAAAUUCUUUAAGUUCUAUGUCAAACCUUCCUUCACUAAAAUACCUUACUGACGAAUAAAGAAAAUGUUUAUAUUCUAAAUAAA